rnacentral:rRNA from 1 species
UGCCAGCAGCCGCGGUAAUACGGAGGGGGUUAGCGUUGUUCGGAAUUACUGGGCGUAAAGCGCGCGUAGGCGGCUUUUUAAGUCAGAUGUGAAAGUCCACGGCUCAACCGUGGAAGUGCAUUUGAAACUGGGAGGCUUGAGUAUUGGAGGGGGUGGUGGAAUUCCCGGUGUAGAGGUGAAAUUCGUAGAUAUUCGGAGGAACACCAGAGGCGAAGGCGGCUCACUGGACCGAUACUGACGCUGAGGAGCGAAAGCGUGGGGAGCAAACAGGAUUAGAUA